AAGUAAAAAGCAAUAUUUAUGCACUUAGUUUCGACCUGAGAGAAAGAUAUUAAUUUAUCUUUACUUA
rnacentral:tRNA from 1 species